UAGAUGGAAUAUGGCAAGCUGCCUCACACUCCCUCAGCAUUCCUUCCCUGACAGAAAGAAUUGUAUCCAGUCAGAAUGGGAGCCGAAAGAAACCCUCCCUCAUUUAGUUGCUUCUUAUCGGCUGUUUGGCCACAACAAACAAGUAACCACCACAGACGUCCUGACACACUCACCUUCUUGUUGAAAAAGUAACUCAGACCAAAGAAGGGAAAAUGUUGCCCGGACAGUCAUCAGACCAGAAAACUGGGCACAGAUGAAGCCAUCUGCAAAGCUCCCAAGGUCUUGGAGACUAACUAGAAGGAAGGGCUCCCAGAACCUUUUGUAUUUGACAUCACUGUAGAAGGAAUACAACCUCUAACUUUGCCUAGAAGAUCUGAUCACUUUAACAGAAAUAAACUUAAUUGUA